rnacentral:rRNA from 1 species
GACGAACGCUGGCGGCGUGCCUAAUACAUGCAAGUCGAACGCAGUGGGGACGGGUGAGUAACACGUGGGUAACCUCCCAUCAGAGGGGAUAACACUUGGAAACAGGUGCUAAACCGAUACUGAUGGAUGGAACAGCGGUGCAUUAGCUCGUUGGUGGGGAAACGGCUCAACAAGGCCACGAGGCAUAGCUGACCUGAAGGGAUGAUCGGCCACACUGGGACUGAGCCACGGCCCAGCCUCCUACGGGAGGCAGCAGUAGGGAAUCUGCGGCAAUGGACGAAAGUCUGACCGAGCAACGCCGCGUGAGUGAAGAAGGUUUGCGGAGCGUAAAACUCUGUUGUUAGAGAAGCGGUAUCUAACCAGAAAGCCACGGCUAACUACGUGCCAGCAGCCGCGGUAAUUC